GAUGAACGCUGGCGGCGUGCUUAACACAUGCAAGUCGAACGGUGAAGGCGGAGCUUGCUCUGCUGGAUCAGUGGCGAACGGGUGAGUAACACGUGAGCAAUCUGCCCCUGACUCUGGGAUAAGCGCUGGAAACGGCGUCUAAUACUGGAUACGAGCUGCGAAGGCAUCUUCAGCAGCUGGAAAGAAUUUCGGUCAGGGAUGAGCUGGCGGCCUAUCAGCUUGUUGGUGAGGUAAUGGCUCACCAAGGCGUCGACGGGUAGCCGGCCUGGGAGGGUGACCGGCCACACUGGGACUGAGGCACGGCCCAGACGCCAACGGGAGGCAGCGGUGGAGAAUAUGGCACAAUGGGCGAAAGCCUGAUGCAGCAGCGCCGCGUGAGGAACGACGGCCUUCGGGUUGUAAACCUCUUUUAGCAGGGAAGAAGCGAAAGUGACGGUACCUGAAGAAAAAGCGCCGGCUAACUACGUG
rnacentral:rRNA from 1 species